GGGCCCGCACAAGCAGUGGAGUAUGUGGUUUAAUUCGAAGCAACGCGAAGAACCUUACCAGGGCUUGACAUGCACAGGAAUAUUGUAGGAAACUAUGGUAGCUUUUCGGAGUCUGUGCACAGGUGGUGCAUGGUUGUCGUCAGCUCGUGUCGUGAGAUGUUGGGUUAAGUCCCGCAACGAGCGCAACCCCUAUUAUUAGUUGCUACAUUAAGGUGAGCACUCUAAUGAGACUGCCGGUGAUAAAUCGGAGGAAGGUGGGGACGACGUCAAAUCAUCAUGCCCUUUAUGUCCUGGGCAACACACGUACUACAAUGGGAGUAACAAAGAGAAGCAAGCGAGCGAUCGCAAGCAAAGCUGUAAAAAACUCUCUCAGUUCGGAUUGCAGGCUGAAAUUCGCCUGCAUGAAGUUGGAAUUGCUAGUAAUGGCAGGUCAGCAUACUG
rnacentral:rRNA from 1 species